rnacentral:tRNA from 1 species
GCCUCCGUCCGAAUUGGAUCGGACCCGGCCUUCGAAGCCGGGUGUUCUGUGGGUUCGAAUCCUACCGGGGGCG